GGAGAAAGGGUCUGCUCAGCGGUACAGCAUCUGUGUUGCAUACAGAAGAACCUGGGUUCAACCCCCAACUUCUCUU